AUAUACUCAUAUAUUGGAGCUAAACUUGAAUAGUGAACUUUUGGUAAGAAAUUUAAUGAUUUUUGUAGCUUUAUGAAAGCUUUUUUGGAGAAUAUAAGUUGAGUUCAGUUUAUAUAAUUUAAGUGAGUUGAGAGUGAAAUUUUAAGUUGUCAUAAGGUGUGAUUUUUAUAGUUAGUUAUUAAUAGAAAAGUUUACAGUUUAAGUUUUAAAUGGCUGUUUUGGAUAGACAUUUAUUGUCUUACUAUUAAUAUGACUUAGGAUUAUUAUACGCCAAAUUAUAUGUCGCUUGGGUCCGCUAGCACACUCAUUUGGAUAUGCAGGUAAGAAAAGUAUAUUGUAUUGUAUAGUAUGUGGUAUGUAAUACAAUUAAUAUUGUUAUGAAUUGAUUAAUAUUGAGAUAUAGUUAAUAUUGUUAUGUAAUGAAAAGAUUGAUUGGUUGAGUAUCGAUAAUGUGAUGAUAUUAUGCAUAUGAUAUAUGGGCUCACCUGAUUAGGUGAUGCGAUUUUCUUGGCGACAUAUCGAGCGUAGGUAUAGGCGUUAGUGAUAUAUGAUGAGUACCGAGCAUAGGUACGGGCUCACCUGAUUAGGUGAUGCAAUUUUUUUGACGACAUUCUGAGCGUAAGUACGGGCGUUAGUGAUAUAUGAUAAGUACCGAGCGUAAGUACGGACUCGUCUGAUUAGACGAUGCAAUAUUGGUGCUAGAUUAUGGUAUGGGCUCACCUGAUUAGGUGAUGCAAUUAUAUGAUAUAUGGGUGUAGGUUUUUGGCACAGGCUCACCUAAUUAGGUAAUGCAAUUAUAUGAUAUAUGGGUGCAGGUUUAUGGCACGAGCUCAUCUAAUUAGGUGACUCAGUUAUGCGAUAUAUGAGUGCCAGACUAUGGCACGGGCUUGCCUGAUUAGGCAAUGCAAUACGGGAUUAUCAGAUUAAAGCAUCAACUUGUCUGAUUAGGCAACGUGAUGUCAUGAAGAUGGUUACUUUAUGAGGUAAAGACAAAGAAAAGCUAGAUCAACCAUGAGGUGACAGUCUUCUCCAGCAAUGUCAUAUUGACCUCACUGGCCUGCGUGCCACGUUGCCAGGAGUUGUUUUGGGCUGGCUGUAUCUGUUGUGUAUUUUGAUUUUGUCUUUAAAUGGUUGUCGUAUAUAUUUCUUUAGCAAAAUUUUUUAUAACAGGGAUUGCCAAAACACACUUUUUAUGCCA